GUCACGCCAACAAGAAGUGAAGCAGACAGAGUUGGCACUGUAGUAACAGAGCAUGUAGUCAGCAGGGAUUUGAGGAGGGGAGGUUCAGUUGACUGAGCACUUCUCAUAAAAGAAGACGAAUCAAAUAGAGAGAACAAAAAAGCCGGGGAAAAAUUUCCAGCCCAGGAGUCAGGGAGUGAAUCUGCACUUGAAACAAGGAGCCGAGAGGAACUUCCAGCCAGAAGGUACCUUUCAAACAAAGAAGCUGAGACUAACCCAACCUCAGAGAGUAUACUCAGAAUCUUUAGACUCAAAAUCUGUCCUUACUGUGCUUCGGUGGACUGUCAUCUGGAGCAGUGGCUCAGGAGUUGGACUCACCAAUGGAUCCUCGGUCAAUGAGUCAGGAGUGAAGACAAAGGUUUCAAAGUUCUGGAGGUCAGAGUAUCUGAAAAGAGUCUCACGGGACUAAAACCAAGGUGUUGGCAGCAUUGGUUCCUUCUGGAGACUCCAGGGGAGAAGCCGUUCCCUGCCUCUUCCAGCUUCCGGAGGCUGUCUGCAUUCCCUGGCUUGGCUGCAUCACUUCAACCUCUGCUUCUGUGGUCACAUCACCUUCUUCCACUGCUCAUUCUGAUCUCCUACCUCCUCGUAUAAGGGUCCUUGUGAUUACACCAGGCCCACCUGGUGGUGGGUCAUCCCAGCUAAUCCAGGAUAAUCUCCCCACCUCAAGAUUCUUGACGUAAUCACACUUGAAAAGUCCCUUUUGCCAUAGAAGGCAACAGUCACAGGUUCCAGAGCUGAGGACGUGGACAUCUUUGGGGGGUCAUUUUUCAGCCUUCCACGGAAGGCAACUGUAUUCCCAUACCAGGCUCACUGUUUUCUUUAUGCCAUCUCUAAUGCUCACAACAUCCUGUGACAUAAGUGUGAUAUUCAAUAUAAGUGUUAUAUUCAGUUUGCAGAUGAGAAAUCUGAGGCUCAGAGAUGCUAAAUAAUUAACUUGUGUCACACAGUCUCUAAGGAGUAGAGACAGAAUUCAAAGCCAGAUCUGCCCAACUAAAGCUCAUUCUCCUUUAACAACUAUCAGUAUCCCCCUUUUACAGAUCAUAACCAUCUAUCAAUGAAAACAGCCCCAUACAGGUUGGGGAGGCACCAGUGACUUCAUGAAUUCUUCCUCCAUUUCCACAAUUAUACAAUUAAUCCAGAAAUCUGGGCCAGUAGGAAUCAGCCACUUUUAUUUCAUGAGCAAAAGUGUUCCUAAAAUGCUGAGAAUGUAAACACAACUGUAGAAUAUGGUGAAACUCAGGACAGAACAUCCCCUACGACGUGGAAGAAAGGAGGCCUUCGCCAUGUCUCUCUGUGGGGGACAUGUCGAUGGAGUCGGGAACGACUUCUCUCAGUGUGCUGAGGUACAUUCUGUGAUCUCCUGGGAAGGGGUGGCUGUGUUUUUCUAUGAGUUUUGCAGUCAUUUCUGUCUUAGAGUCUGAAGGACCUAAGCACAGUCAUCACUUAACCACAGGAGCUAUUGACUCCCUUCCCUUCAGUAAACACUGUGGGGAGGUUCUUUCUGCUUCCUCCUUGCAGCCAUGGUAACCGUUGUUGGGUAAUCCAUGGUUGCCAGACUCCUCAACCGAAGUGAGAUUUUUGAAAAACCUGAUGUCAUAUCCAGGACAAACACGAAAAGUCCUUCUAACCAUACUAGGCUCCUUAAUAACUAUGGUGUUUCAGAAGAAAUUUAUACGCCCUAAUAUGCCCCUUCCUACUACUGCGGAAAGCGUCAUUCACACAGAGAUCUGUCUCUAUUCUGAGAGUAGAGGGAAAAAUAAUGAUUAGAGUUAUUGCAUAUAAAAUGCUUGUUGGGCCAGAAUCCAUGGGUGGACUAAUUCAGCUGUUCUGCCUUCCUCAGGCAGGAAUAAUAUGAUUCCCAUUUCACAGACGAGAAAGUUGAUGUCUGGAAAGUGGAGCCCUGUGUCAAAGCUGCGUGUCAGUAAGAGUAGAGCUGGGAUUUGAACCCGCUGUGAAUGAUUCUAGGCUAGGGGCUGUGCUGUGAGCCAAUCUUGUGAGUCAGCCUUACGUAUAGAUUCCAUACUGUCCAUUAUGUGUGUUUAUUUUGUUAUCAACUAGCUUUCUAGUUCUGGAGAUAAAACCAAGGAUGAGUUCUUCUUCUCACUGAGGGAGCUUUUACCCAGAAAACACAGACUUUCAAGAAACAGGUUGAGCCAAGGCGAACUUUCUCUGAUGGGGAGAAUGGAAGGAUGCCCUGCCAAAAGGGAGAAGUUAAGGCCCUCAGUGACCCCUCCAGCUGCACGUUCCAGCCUGUGGGACGGCAGAGGAGCCCUGGGGCCUCAAGCCCUGCUUGCUCCCUUGAAGCUGGUGUGGUCUUGGCUCCUGUGCACAACGGCCAGGCAUCCGGGACCUGCGAUGACCUGGCAUAAGUCACCUGCCGAUCCUUUAACAGUGAACAGCUGGAGUCUAAUCACACUCAAACAUUCAAACUCUGCUGCUUUAUCUCGACGCUCUAUCAGCCAGCUUUAUAAAUGGAAAGACAGCACGGAAACCAGAGGAAGACAGUCUUCUUAUAAAGUUACAUUUAUUUGUUUGAGGGGCUGUAGUCCCCAAAGUGGAUUUUCCCAGGGGCCCCUUCCACGGCAGCAUGCUACCACACUGAAGGAAUACAUCGUGGGAUAUCUCGUGAUGGAUUACAACACAACUGUCGAAAUAAUAUUUAGAAGUCUACUAAAUAACAGAAGGGAAAUGUCCACCAUAAUUGUCCAGGGGAAAAAGCAGAUUACCAAACAGUGUGUAAUUAAAUACCAGUCAACUGAUGGGUCCAAAGCAGAGAUGUCAGAUUCCAAAAUAUGCUAGCCAAAAGGCUUUCUAAAGGCUCCGUAACACCAAAGACAACAAUGUGGGUGAUAGAAAUAAUGAUCCCACUGAGAUGAUGGAAUGACCAAGAGCCACAGAAACUGACAAAGAGGAGAGCUUGGCCAGGCAGCUGGGUGGAGCAUGGAAGCAAAGUGCUACGAUGCUGCUGAGGGUGAAUCAGUAUCAACUUCUGCUCGUUCCAGACCCUUCUGGAGUCCAGGCCCAAACUGCAGUUGGCCUAGCUGUACCCAGAGAAUCUGAUCCUUCACUGGUUGUGUGACCAGCAGCAAGGCAGUCUUGUCUCCUUCCUCCAGCUUCUUCAGCGGGGACUCGGUCAGGCCAAGGACAAUGGCUUCCUCCUGUUGGAAGAUCUUUUCAGACUAGAGAGUGUGACCCCCAACUGCGCAGGGCACCUGCAAGUUGCUGAAUAACAACAUGCAUUCCAGACUCAACUCUUCAUUUCCUCCAUGGAGCACCGAGCCCCAUACUGCCUUCCUAGGGCAAUGCUAGGUGGUUAACACCCACAAGCCCCUUUCUCUUUGGCUUAUCGAGAAAGUGGUUCGUGUUCAUUAAAUCAUGAGAAGUGUCAGACAAAAUGGCAAAAGUCCCCCUCAAAAGUCAAGAAUGAAUGUUAGAAAACUAAGUGGUAGAAUUACUCACAGAGAAACUCUUUCAUGGAGUAGAUAGAUUUCACUUUAUGAAAAAGGAACAGAGAGAAAGAAGAGAGAACAGAAAGAAGGGGUGAGCGGGAAAGAGGAGAGAGAGAGAGAGAAGAGGUAACGACCAGACCAGAGAGUUUGCCAGAGUCACACAUGACUGUUUAUUUCUAACUGCCCACUGCUGCCAGCGGCACUGUGCUCUCCCUUUGGUGGAGUGGGGGAAGAGCAGCAAGAUAAGAUAAGGGGGC
rnacentral:lncRNA from 1 species